CAGUUCCUCUUUGACCCUGGCAAUCUCUUGAACUGUGUGGAAAGCUGGGCCAGGGUGAGCAUAUUGACAAACGCUUUUGGGAACCUGCAGUUGCAAGGAGAGUCCUACCAAGGGGGUUCUGGUGGAUAUGUUUCAGAGACUCAGUCCUCCUAGGCAGAAGAGAACAUCAGGAAUGCCCACAGACAUGUUCGGCUGGCCUUGAAAUCACAGCAAUCCUCCUGCCUCAGCCUCCCAAAUGCUGAGAUUAUAGGCACAGCAUCCUGCCCAGACAGUAAAAGUCCCUUUGAAAGACAACAUGGAAUAUAGCAUGUCCAAGUGACAGUGCUUAUUGGUGAAGCCCUCCUGUAGGCUUGGCUCCCGGUG
ensembl:lncRNA